AUUGAACGCUGGCGGCAUGCCUUACACAUGCAAGUCGAACGAAGUCUUCGGACUUAGUGGCGGACGGGUGAGUAACACGUGGGAACGUGCCUUUAGGUUCGGAAUAACUCAGGGAAACUUGUGCUAAUACCGAAUGUGCCCUUCGGGGGAAAGAUUUAUCGCCUUUAGAGCGGCCCGCGUCUGAUUAGCUAGUUGGUGAGGUAAAGGCUCACCAAGGCGACGAUCAGUAGCUGGUCUGAGAGGAUGAUCAGCCACAUUGGGACUGAGACACGGCCCAAACUCCUACGGGAGGCAGCAGUGGGGAAUCUUGCGCAAUGGGCGAAAGCCUGACGCAGCCACGCCGCGUGAAUGAUGAAGGUCUUAGGAUUGUAAAAUUCUUUCACCGGGGACGAUAAUGACGGUACCCGGAGAAGAAGCCCCGGCUAACUUCGUGCCAGCAGCCGCGGUAA
rnacentral:rRNA from 1 species